rnacentral:lncRNA from 1 species
GGAAACGAAUGAAAUUCGCCUGCUAAGCUCAAUAGAUGGCUUUGGAGAUGAAUGAAAUUCGCCUGCCAAGCGCAAUAGAUGGAUUUUGAGUUUUCUUAAGGUACAUAGAACUAAUUCGGGAAAGAAUUUUAAGGAUUAUUAAUUACGGAUAAAAAUGUUCUGUUAACGUUUUCAUGCCAUAGCAUUCCAUUUGUCGUAAUUAUUAAAUUAUUUAAAAAAUGAAAAAGAAAUAAACGGCAGCCACAAUUUCAACUUGGUAAAAUAAAAACAAAGCAGACGACUUAAUCUCAUACCUUCUUCUUCUUUGACAAAAUGACAACUUUUUUGAAAAAUCAAAAUGACUCUAGAAGUUGAGUGCACCGAAAAAGAAAUCGAUGUCAUUGGACUUGGGUGCUCAAAAGAAUCAUUUACUGAGCACUCGGAGGUUGAAAAACUCAUUGACGAACUGAGGACGUCAGCCCAACAUCAGACAAACCAAACGGAUAUUCGUUUAGUGGAGAGAAACUGGCAAAGGUUUUCGUUCAUUCUAGAUCAAUACCAAGAGCAACCACAUUUGAUCGAUUCACACCUCGAUGGACUACUCACUAAAAUCAUCAACAUCAUUCGAGAGGAAGGGCUGGAUUAUGAGGUGAAACAUGUGGCCUUCCGAUGCCUCUACUUUAUAUCGAAAGUCAGAGGCUACAAAGUUGUAGCAAGACAUCUUCCUCAUGAGACUGCCGGUCUGGAGCCUUUGCUACAUUACUUGGAAAACCAAGACCCUGGUGUGCAACUAAAAUGGGAGACUCAUUACGGCUUGCUUCUCUGGCUCAGCAUUGUAGUUAAAAUCCCAUUCCACCUUCAGCGAUUUGACACCAGCACUUCAGAGCCAAUCAUGGAAGAAUUCUGAAUGUCUGUAAGAAAUACCUGGCUGGGACAACAAAAGCUCAGGACAUGGCCUUUUAUGUAUCGGCAAUCUAUCUUACAAGGCCUUAUGUCAAAGAUUCCUAUCUACCGGGAUUCAUCAAUGGGGCUCAUGAGGCUCUUACCAAAGAUAGUGCUCAGUUCAAAAAAGGAGUUCUUUCAACGUUGGCCGGCGUAUUCAAACAUGGGCAAAGAGAACAAAUGAUGGAGCACAUGCUGUGCUGCGUACCAUCCUGACGAUUAAAUUCCAACCGUCAGAAUUGCUUAUACAGUUAAGAAACCGUUGGUGAAGCUGACGCAGCGAAUAGGUUUGAUAUUCUUGAAACCUCGAGUUGCCUCUUGGAGAUACCAGCGGGGCAGCAGAUCAUUAGCUGCCAAUCUGCAACAGAGCCAACCCGUUGAGACUAAAGCAGCUAUUUCGGUGAAUGAUGAAGAUGACCACGAUUACGACGUGCCGGAAGAAAUCAAAGAAGUACUUGACGAGAUCCUGCAAGCCCUCCGAGACAAGAACCGUGAAGUCCAGUACUCUGCAGCAAAAGGCAUUGGGCGGCUGACCAGUCGCUUAUCAAAGAACUUUGCCGACCAGUCGGAUAUGGCCUGGCACGGAGGAUGUUUGGCUUCAAGUGGCAAAAGACCAUCAACGUCGUCUGCCAGAUGAACUUGGUCAGUUACCGCUUUGGUUUCAAAAUUUAGGAUGAGAAACUUCUUCGGGGACUUGAAGUUGAAAUAGUUGGGAUACCUGCAAUUUCGUGCAGUUUCCGAAUUUCGUCUUGGAGCACGGGGAUAACUAUAUAUGUAUGGAUGGUGGAUAUUAGUAUGAGAAACACUAUCAGUUCAACAGGUUCACGAAACUUAAAACUUACCUUCCAAUUGGGCACGCAGUUGCCGAUUUUCCUCUAGAACCUCGUCGAUGGUUGGCUGUGUUUCGGGGGGGUUAGGACCUUGCAAUUGUUUGAUGGGGGGAAACAGCUUUUUCUUUAGGCAAACAUGCCGACUUAAAUUGAAUCCAGUCGCAACCAAGUAUAUCUUGCAAUACAAACACUUGGCCCUCUGGAAAAACAUGAUUGAAUUUAAAUUACUUCGUUUUAUAUACUAAAUAUGUAUAUUUUUUUAAUUACCACGUUCCCAUCAACAAUCUCUGGAACUUCAAAAUCCGAACUGAAAUGUUUGGCGUGCUUGGUUCGAGCUUUUUCGAGGUUUUUAAUCAUCUCUUCACGACUUAUUUUCUUGGGUACUUUUGGCAUUUUGGGAACAGUGUACAGUACACCCACUAGACUAAAAAGCAGAAAAGCUACUGCUUACACUUUGUUUUGUUACAAGGCAAGCAUAGAGAUAACAGAGUCGUAUAGAGCUACGUCUAGCUAUGUCCAGAAUAUCAGCGGAAUCGAAGCGGUGAUUGCAUAAAUUAAAAUUUUAUAUUUGGCGCUUCUAGUUGUGUUACGGAUUCCUCCGUCAAUACGGGUGGCGCUACCAUUCAGUUUUCCAUAAAGUAUCAUUCACAUUCUCAUAUUUCCCGAUAGGGAUUUAUCGGCAAACGACCCUGUCCUCCCACCGUCGUGAUCCCGCUUUGAUUGACAUAAUGGGGUCGGUGUGAUUUAAAUGUAAAAAAUAAUCGCUUAUUUUUAGUUAGUUUUUCUCCCGACAGGUGGUUCUGACGCCAAUCCAUAAUUCAAGGCCGACGAACUUCAACGCGGCCUUGGAUUGGAUUCAAAAACAAAACAAAAACAAAACAAGGCUGGCUGCUAAUCAAUCAACUGAACCAAGGCAAGUUUAAAGCAAAAUGUAGUCAAAUUUUAAAUAAUGCAGGUAGUAUAAUCCUUUGAUUGUAAAUUAUUUUCCCUACUACGUAAAGCUGGUACAAUAGCCGUACGGUUUUUUAUAUACCGAAAAGCAUUCAUUGAUCAUGGAGUCCAGGAUGAUUUACGAUGUGAUGGUAGAACAAUGCUGGAUUACCACCCUAUAAUUCUUGAAACUACAUUAGUUUCCAAUGCCAGUGGAUCGGCAAGGCUGAGACUUGCAAAUUCAUCAACAUCUGGAAAAUGAAAUUUGCAAAUUCCUACAAAGAUCCUAUGCUUCAGCUGAUGUGAUAUUUCCACCAGUCCUGAUGUAUCAACACUGGUGCAGAGUCUACGACAAGCCUUGGCCCUUGAAGCUAAAUUCCAACCAAAGCUUCAACUUCUGUCAACACUCAACAUCCAGCAAUACAGGAGAAAGCGGUGAAAUUAUGUGUGCAAUGAGGGAUGGAGCUGCCCAUGUUCUUCGCUGCAUGAAAGUCUGGUAUGAUCUUCCUUAUGCAGUUCUUCUGGAUGCUCUCAACAUGAUGGACUGGUUCAUGAGCCGCAUGAAAGCACUCCUAAACACCUCUCAUGCAUAGCAAUCAGCUCCUUCCAUCUAGCAGCUUGCCAAUGGGUGGAGAGGAUUAAACAGAACAUCAUUGAGGUAUCUUCCAUUCAGAGUCCAUUGUAGAUUGUUCCUGAAACUCAAUAUCUGGUAACGAUAUCUUAAUGUAAAUGUACCGCCGGAGACAUCAACCGGAUGGAAAAAAUUGUCGAAGCCAAGUUAUCUUAUCUACCCCAAGAAGAACCGGUCACGACCUUAACAUUCCUCAACCUGUAUCACUCACUUCUCUCGACGACUUUACCUGCCGCUCUUCAGCAAGACCUUCUUAUUCUUUCAUGCAAGCAGGAGACCAUUUGCUGUGACGCAAAAUAAUGCUGCCUUUCCCUCAUCUCUUUUGGCUUUCGUCCUACUGUUUGUCGAAAUGAAGUGUCACCAGCCGGCCAUCGAGGUUAUUAUCAGAAACGUUUUACUAGAACUUCAGCGACUUGUUCAGGUCAAAAAUGACUAGUUGAAGGAGUGUAUAAGAAUGGUCACUUCGGCAAUGGCACCUUACGAUGGCUAUGUCCAAAGCAAUCCGUCUCAUCGUCAGCAACGACUUACCUGGAAGUUGUCCUUUUUCUACUAUUUAUUUGCCUUCUAAACCAUUUAUAAUAAGUUUUGCCUUUAGUAAAGCAAAAUGCCUAGCUUUUUCUAGUCCUAUACCACUUACUUGUUGAGCCUGUGUAAAUUCGGGUCUCAGUGAUACAUGAUUACCACUCUUAACAAGAAAACUAUAUAUUUCUUUACUCACUACAUCAGAAGUUUCUCCAAGUGUGCAGUCGAAAAUUUUAGUCAAAAUUCCCUUCAUAGAUAAGAGAAAUAGAGCCGUAAUUUCAUCCUAUAAACGUUCAAUUAAUCUAUCAAAAAUCUUAUCUUGUUUAGGGUGGUUAUUAACCUUAUAUGUUAUUUAUAUAAAUUUAAAUACUAUAAAUAAUGGUUCGAAAUUAACUGAAAAAAAGACUUCUGUAAUUUUACGUAAUUUCGAUGUUACGUCAUGACGUCAUACGUCGACUAUGACUUGAUAACCACCCGAAUCAGUAAGUAUCGGCUUUGACCUAUUCAUGAACUUAUGUAGCCCACAAUUAUAAAAACAAAAUCACCUGUCCUAUUUACAAUAAAUGCUUGAAUUGCCGCUUUA